UUUUCGUUCUGAAAUAUAAAAAAAAAAAAAAAAAAAAAAAAAAAAAAAAAAAAAAAAAAAAAAAAAAAAAAAAAAAAAAAAAAAAAAAAAAAAAAAAAAAAAAAAAAAAAAAAAAAAAAAUCCAGAUAUGAAUCGAUUGAUUACAACAAAACAUUUGCAAGUAAUCGGUCGAUUCUAAAAAAAAAAAAAAAAAAAAAAAAAAAAAAAAAAAAUA
rnacentral:lncRNA from 1 species